rnacentral:rRNA from 1 species
GUAGGGAAUAUUGGGCAAUGGUCGGAAGACUGACCCAGCCAUGCCGCGUGCAGGAAGACGGCCCUCUGGGUUGUAAACUGCUUUUAUCUGGGAAGAAAAAGGCCAUGCGUGGCAAAUUGCCGGUACCAGAUGAAUAAGCACCGGCUAACUCCGUGCCAGCAGCCGCGGUAAUACGGAGGGUGCGAGCGUUGUCCGGAUUUAUUGGGUUUAAAGGGUGCGUAGGCGGCUGAUUAAGUCAGCGGUGAAAGACUUCGGCUUAACCGGAGCAGUGCCGUUGAUACUGGUUGGCUUGAGUGUCGGAGGGGUACAUGGAAUUGAUGGUGUAGCGGUGAAAUGCAUAGAUACCAUCAGGAACACCGAUAGCGAAGGCAUUGUACUGGCCGACAACUGACGCUGAUGCACGUAAGUGUGGGGAUCGAACAGGAUUAGAUACCCGUGUAGUCC